UGUGUUUCAAAGCCUGCUUCCUCUGGCCCUGUAAGGACUGCAGAAGGAACAUCCCACUUGCGUCUGCUGACACAAAAGAAUGCUGUGGCUGGGAGAUCUUAUCGAGCCUUCCUGUGCCACAGCAACAGAGCUCCAGUUGUGUCUCCUAAGAAUUGCUCAUUGUUUCGUGUGAGGACUAGCUCCUUUGGGUGGGAUCUGAUGGCAUCUCAUGGAGUUGGAGGUUUCCAGGAUAACUUGUGGAGACAGUGCUGUCCAUCUCUACUCCACUGACUAAGGUUUCUCUUUGAUGUUGAGUCCAGCUUUUGGAAGCCCUAUCCAAAGAAGCUUUCUUCUGUCACUUGCGAGUGAGACUGAUGCAAUCAAUGAUACUGUCUCUAGAUCUUCCUGCUGAAAGAAAGUACUCCUGACAUAUCUCUUCUGAUUGCCUGGAUUUCUGUUUCUCUAAAUUAUUAAUUAGUCACAAUGUAUCUAAAUGUUUAUGAUUGGCCUAUAAUUAAACAGAAUGUUGUUCAUUUAAUAAUUUAGCCUUUUAGAGUAAAUCAUUUUAGAAUGAACAAAUAACAUAUAACA
rnacentral:lncRNA from 1 species